GACGAACGCUGGCGGCACGCUUAACACAUGCAAGUCGAACGAGAGAAGAGAAGCUUGCUUUUUUGAUCUAGUGGCGGACGGGUGAGUAACACGUGAGCAAUCUGCCUUUCAGAGGGGGAUACCGAUUGGAAACGAUCGUUAAUACCGCAUAACAUAAUUGAACCGCAUGAUUUGAUUAUCAAAGAUUUAUCGCUGAAAGAUGAGCUCGCGUCUGAUUAGCUAGUUGGUAAGGUAACGGCUUACCAAGGCGACGAUCAGUAGCCGGACUGAGAGGUUGAUCGGCCACAUUGGGACUGAGACACGGCCCAGACUCCUACGGGAGGCAGCAGUGGGGAAUAUUGCACAAUGGAGGAAACUCUGAUGCAGCGAUGCCGCGUGAGGGUUAAAGGUUUUAGGAUUGUAAACCUCUGUCUUCAGGGACGAAAAAAGACGGU
rnacentral:rRNA from 1 species